rnacentral:ncRNA from 1 species
AAACUCUGGAGAAUCCUGCCGCGUGCAGGUGCCGAAGGUGCAAGGCCGGUGAACGGCUGAAUCUCUCAGGCAAAAGGACAGAGCGG